rnacentral:SRP_RNA from 1 species
GGCUGAGCCCUCUACGGCGCAUACUUGUGAAUCCCGCCAGGCCCGGAAGGGAGCAACGGUAAGCGAGUCCCUGUGGGUGCUAGAGGUAAACUUAGCCCUC